rnacentral:rRNA from 1 species
AAUACAGAGGGAGCAAGCGUUGUUCGGAAUUACUGGGCGUAAAGGGCGCGUAGGCGGUCUGCUAAGUUCCGUGUGAAAUCCCUCGGCUCAACUGAGGAACCGCACGGGAAACUGGCAGACUUGAGUUUGGGAGAGGGAAGCGGAAUUCCGGGUGUAGCGGUGAAAUGCGUAGAUAUCCGGAGGAACACCGGUGGCGAAGGCGGCUUCCUGGACCACGACUGACGCUGAGGCGCGAAAGCUAGGGGAGCAAACGG